AUUGAACGCUGGCGGCAGGCUUAACACAUGCAAGUCGAGCGGAGUGAUGGUGCUUGCACUAUCACUUAGCGGCGGACGGGUGAGUAAUGCUUAGGAAUCUGCCUAUUAGUGGGGGACAACAUCUCGAAAGGGAUGCUAAUACCGCAUACGUCCUACGGGAGAAAGCAGGGGAUCACUUGUGACCUUGCGCUAAUAGAUGAGCCUAAGUCGGAUUAGCGAGUUGGUGGGGUAGAGGCCUACCAAGGCGACGAUCUGGAGCGGGUCAGAGAGGAUGAACCGCAACACCGGGAAGGAGAAACGGCCCAGACUCCUACGGGAGGCAGCAGUGGGGAAUAUUGGACAAUGGGGGGAACCCUGAUCCAGCCAUGCCGAGUGUGUGAAGAAGGCCUUAUGGUUGUAAAGCACUUUAAGCGAGGAGGAGGCUCUUUUGGUUAAUACCCAAGAUGAGUGGACGUUACUCGCAGAAUAAGCACCGGCUAACUCUGUGCCAGCCGCCGCCGUAA
rnacentral:rRNA from 1 species